GCCUCUGCUGCAGCCUGUAGAAUAGUGGAUUUGAUUUGCAGGACCUCUGGGAAAUCUACCUCAAAGACGUCAAUAUCUUUUAAGCAACUCAAGCGAAAUGCCCUUGCAUCCAUCCCUACAGGUUCAAGAGAUCACUAACCUGCUCCAAGAAGAACAACUUGUGCUGCUCCACCAUCAAAAGAAUUGAUGGCUGCUUCAAGCUUUCUAUCAAACCAGAGUGUUCUAACUGCAAUGAUUACCCCAGACACUUCGCUUGCAUUCUUCAAACGAUCCUUCAAAAUCUUGUCAUACAGGCUCUUCAGGUACGUCUCUCCUGCUAGUACCUCUGCUAACGGGUCAUGGAUCACAUGAUUCCAUAAUGCCCUCCCUGCCGCCGUCUGGCAUGCAGACCUUCGCAAGUUGUCCCAGUCGUUCUCUAUGGCCGCAUGGAGUUCGCUAACGCUGGCGGUGUAUAAUGAGUUGGGCAGCCUCAGCUCUGGCCACAGCUCAUCAGCUGGCAGGCCAUUCUCUUGAUCAGACAUUCUGUGUGAUCACUGUGGAAAGUAGUUUGGAAGAACAAUGAAAGGGAAGGAAUGAAGAGAUAAGCCAUGCAUUAUAUAAUUGGAAGGAGUAGAGGGGUUUGUUAGUAGGGGAUAAGGAAAGAGAGCCACACACAACCAACGUCUGAGAAAAAUAGUUGAAUCGUAUAUCCGGCUCUCUCUUUGGCGUUAAAGGAAGGUAAUGAAGUAGUCCACGACUACCACCAAUCUCAUAUUCCUGUUCCUAUUCUUGAACCCCUUUUGUUUGAGUCGCUUUCUUGGGUUGCUCUACCACUAGUUUGUCAAUCUCAAGUUCUAGGAUAGUAGGAUGAGAAAAGAAACAUGAGGGGCAAUACAGCUGAGUUGAUCGGAUAGUUGGCUUGAUAACCACAAAGUUUCAAUACAUCCUAUUGGUCUUUUUA